UCCCUGGUGGUCUAGAGGUUAGGACUUGACGCUUUCACUGCUGUGACCCAGGUUCAAUCCCUGGCCUAGGAA
rnacentral:tRNA from 1 species